AUGGCGGCGAUAGGCGGCCACCCUUACUGGCCAAGUGACCUGGAGCUCCCCGGUUUCGUGCCACAGCAGCUUUCACCUCUCCAACUCGUGGUGCCCCUCAUAGGCACUUCCCUCUUGGUCAUCGCGGUGGUCUGGCUUGUCUCCGGCCAUGUCCUCAGUACUGCGAGAUCCGGCAAAUUAUCCAAGGCCGACCGUUUGCUCAUGUGCUGGUGGGCAAUCACUGGGUUGACGCACCUAAUCAUUGAAGCAUCCUUGCUCUUCACCCCCAAUUACCUUACCAAGGAAAAUCCCAGUUUUUUUGAUGAAAUAUGGAAAGAGUACAGCAAGGCUGACUCCAGACAUGCCACCGGGGACACCACAACCACCGCGGUCGAAGUCAUUGCGGUUUUUCUACAAGGCCCUUUAUCACUUCUUGCUGUUUACGCUAUUGCUUCCAGAAAGUCCUACAACUACAUUCUACAGUUUAGUGUAUCUAUGAGCCACCUCUACUCAAUGUUGAUUUUCUACAUUACCGCCUACUUAGACGGCAUGAACUUCUGCGCCAGUCCAUUCUACUUCUGGACAUAUUUUGUUGGUGCAAACUCCCCAUGGGUUGUGAUUCCAACGCUGAUAGCAAUAAGGAGCUGGAAGUUGAUAAGCCAGGCAUCUCAGUCUUGCAAGGUGAAUCAAGACUAA
rnacentral:rRNA from 1 species